AGCGCAGGCGGUUUCUUAAGUCUGAUGUGAAAGCCCCCGGCUCAACCGUGGAGGGUCAUUGGAAACUGGGAGACUUGAGUGCAGAAGAGGAAAGUGGAAUUCCAUGUGUAGCGGUGAAAUGCGUAGAGAUAUGGAGGAACACCAGUGGCGAAGGCGACUUUCUGGUCUGUAACUGACACUGAGGCGCGAAAGCGUGGGGAGCAAACAGGAUUAGAUACC
rnacentral:rRNA from 1 species